rnacentral:rRNA from 1 species
UACGUAGGGUGCAAGCGUUAAUCGGAAUUACUGGGCGUAAAGCGUGCGCAGGCGGCUUUGCAAGACAGAUGUGAAAUCCCCGGGCUUAACCUGGGAACUGCAUUUGUGACUGCAUGGCUGGAGUGCGGCAGAGGGGGAUGGAAUUCCGCGCGUAGCAGUGAAAUGCGUAGAUAUCUGGAGGAACACCGGUGGCGAAGGCGGCUUUCUGGACAGUAACUGACGCUGAGGCGCGAAAGCUAGGGGAGCAAACAGG